rnacentral:rRNA from 1 species
GGACUACCCGGGUAUCUAAUCCUGUUUGCUCCCCUAGCUUUCGCAGAUCAGAGUCAGUGACGGUCCAGUAGCCUGCUUUCGCCAUAGGUAUUCCUCCCGAUAUCUACGCAUUUCACCGCUACACCGGGAAUUCCAGCUACCUCUACCGCACUCUAGCCUAGCAGUUUCCGUUGACCUCUCCCAGUUAAGCCGGGAGCUUUCACAACAGACUUACUAAACCUCCUACCUGCGCUUUACGCCUAGUGAUUCCGAGUAACGCUUGCCACCUACGUAUUACCGCGGCUGCUGGCAC